AUUGAACGCUGGCGGCAUGCCUUACACAUGCAAGUCGAACGGUAACAGGUCUUCGGACGCUGACGAGUGGCGAACGGGUGAGUAAUACAUCGGAACGUGCCCAGUCGUGGGGGAUAACUACUCGAAAGAGUAGCUAAUACCGCAUACGAUCUGAGGAUGAAAGCGGGGGACCUUCGGGCCCCGCGCGAUUGGAGCGGCCGAUGGCAGAUUAGGUAGUUGGUGGGAUAAAAGCUUACCAAGCCGACGAUCUGUAGCUGGUCUGAGAGGGUGACCAGCCACACUGGGACUGGGACACGGCCCUGACUCCUACGGGAGGCAGCAGUGGGGAAUUUUGGACAAUGGGCGAAAGCCUGAUCCAGCAAUGCCGCGUGCAGGAUGAAGGCCUUCGGGUUGUAAACUGCUUUUGUACGGAACGAAAAAGCUCCUUCUAAUACAGGGGGCCCAUGACGGUACCGUAAGAAUAAGCACCGGCUAACUACGUGCCAGCCGCCGCCGUAA
rnacentral:rRNA from 1 species